rnacentral:rRNA from 1 species
UACGUAGGUGGCAAGCGUUGUCCGGAUUUAUUGGGCGUAACGCGCGCGCAGGCGGUUUGUUAAGUCCGAGGUGAAAUCUCCCGGCUCAACUGGGAGGGGUCUUCGGAUACUGGCCGACUUGAGGAGAGCAGAGGUGAGUGGAAUUCUCGGUGUAGUGGUGAAAUGCGUAGAUAUCGAGAGGAACACCAGCGGCGAAGGCGGCUCACUGGGCUCCACCUGACGCUGAGGCGCGAAAGCGUGGGGAGCGAACCGG